rnacentral:lncRNA from 1 species
UUGUGAGAGGUAUGGCUCUCAACUGACUCCUGGGAAGUCACCAAAGAGCUAGGGCUACAUUUAGAACUGACAGUCUGGGGUCCAAGAAUUGAACUACGAAAUCAAGCACACCGACAGUCUGAGAAUAUUCAGAAGAUUUUCAGCCAUCCAUGUCAUCUCCCAGGGUAGGUACCUGUUUGGCUAGGCUCAUAAUCUGCUAGAGGUUAUUAUUAUUGUGUUCCUGUGUGUAAUAGCUACAAGUUCCUCUGGCAACUCUCUAAGCAGCGACAGAUAGCCUGUACUUUCCCACUGUCCUGAUUCAUUCUAAUCCUAUGUCAAACAUAUAAAUGGUUGCAACUUCUGAGUGGACAGUACUUCUGGCUGACUGCAGUGACUAUGCAUCCCAUUUCUGAGAUAUCUGAAAAGCUCCCCCA